AUUGAACGCUGGCGGCAUGCUUUACACAUGCAAGUCGAGCGGUAACAGGCCGCAAGGUGCUGACGAGUGGCGAACGGGUGAGUAAUGCAUCGGAACGUGCCCAGUCGUGGGGGAUAACGCAGCGAAAGCUGUGCUAAUACCGCAUACGGUCUAUGGAUGAAAGCGGGGGACCGUAAGGCCUCGCGCGAUUGGAGCGGCCGAUGUUAGAUUAGGUAGUUGGUGGGGUAAAGGCCUACCAAGCCGACGAUCUGUAGCUGGUCUGAGAGGACGACCAGCCACACUGGGACUGAGACACGGCCCAGACUCCUACGGGAGGCAGCAGUGGGGAAUUUUGGACAAUGGGCGCAAGCCUGAUCCAGCAAUGCCGCGUGCAGGAAGAAGGCCUUCGGGUUGUAAACUGCUUUUGUACGGAACGAAACGGUCUGGGUUAAUACCCUGGGCUAAUGACGGUACCGUAAGAAUAAGCACCGGCUAACUACGUGCCAGCCGCCGCCGUAA
rnacentral:rRNA from 1 species